GACGAACGCUGGCGGCGUGCUUAACACAUGCAAGUCGAACGAGAUGAUUUUAAGCUUGCUUAGAUGAGUCGAGUGGCAAACGGGUGAGUAACGCGUAGACAACCUGCCGCAAAGAUGGGGACAACAGUCCGAAAGGACUGCUAAUACCGAAUGUUGUCAGUUUUUCGCAUGGGAGACUGAUUAAAGAUGGCCUCUACUUGUAAGCUAUCGCUUUGCGAUGGGUCUGCGUCUGAUUAGCUAGUUGGUGGGGUAACGGCCUACCAAGGCGACGAUCAGUAGCCGGUCUGAGAGGAUGAACGGCCACAUUGGAACUGAGACACGGUCCAGACUCCUACGGGAGGCAGCAGUGGGGAAUCUUCCGCAAUGGGCGAAAGCCUGACGGAGCAACGCCGCGUGAGUGAAGAAGGGUUUCGGCUCGUAAAGCUCUGUUGACGGGGACGAACUGUGCGAGAUGCGAAUAGUUCUUGCAAUGACGU
rnacentral:rRNA from 1 species